rnacentral:rRNA from 1 species
UACGGGGGGGGCAAGCGUUGUUCGGAAUUACUGGGCGUAAAGGGCGCGUAGGCGGCCUUGUCAGUCAGACGUGAAAUCCCCAGGCUUAACUUGGGAACUGCGUCUGAUACUACAAGGCUGGAGUUCGGGAGAGGGAUGUGGAAUUCCAGGUGUAGCGGUGAAAUGCGUAGAUAUCUGGAGGAACACCGGUGGCGAAGGCGGCAUCCUGGACCGAAACUGACGCUGAUGCGCGAAAGCCAGGGGAGCAAACGGG